CUUGGUUGAAGCCAAAAAGAGGCAUACCACUGUUAAUGGUAGAAAUGAAGAUUUCCUUCUAACCAAGG
rnacentral:tRNA from 1 species